rfam:Schistosoma rodhaini strain Burundi genome assembly, scaffold: SROB_scaffold0001904
AUCCAGCUGACCAGUCACAAAUAGGACGAGACGCAUGUCUUGGAU